rnacentral:lncRNA from 1 species
AAGUGAGACCCACGGGUGUGCACCAAUUCGCUAACCGGCCUUACCCGUUAAUUGGAGCUCUAUUUUUUGGGGUGGGUUUGGAAUUGAUAGUUAAGUUUCUCAGUCCAUUAAUAAAUGAAUUGCGCUUAGAAAAAACUAUUAAAUCUCGGCCCAACCUGUAUAUAAACUUCUACCAUUACUUUAAGGCUAGUGAGUUUUUCAUACUUCCUUUUUAUCCAUCGGACUUUUUUUUGGUCUUUAUUAAGGUAAAUUUACUCAAAUAUCUUUUAAAAUAGUAAAAAAAUUUGAAUAAAAAUAAGCAUUUGUAUAUGUUCAUUUUAAUACAGACAAAAAAUGAAUACAAUUGGACAAAAAAAAAGUGCCAAAAUCUUAUCAUAAUUAACAAAAUAAGUAAUCGUAUUGUAGCUUCUUGAACUUUUAAUUACAAGUAAGAAAUUAGUAGAAAUUGUGUCGUUAGAGAGAGGAGAUCGGUGAUGUGGUAUAAAUAAACAAAGGAAAAUGCUAAUGGGCCCUACGUAAGUGAAAAAUGUGUUGGUGAAUGUAAAAGGGGUAAUAGUGCUAUGCUCCUUGUGGCAGUACUUAUACUAGAAUAGAACCUUAGGAUUUAUUUCUCUUAAAAAUGUCCUGCUAUAUAAUGUCAUGACGAUUUUGCCCUUCUUUGAAACCUACGUGUUUGUAUUCUGUUUUGAUAUUUGUUUGAGAUCGAUACAUACAUCUUGUAUGCGUGUUCGAUACGAUUUAGGCAUGUUUCGAUUUGCUGAUUUAAGAUUGUUCAUGUUAGUCUUAUUCUUGAAGAUCCCGAUUUGGUGUUCUUCGAUUAGAGUUUCAUGGAACAACGGUAUGUAUUGAUUGGAUUACAUAUGUAAGAGGAUAAAAUAAAUAACUAUAAGUUCGAGUCACUCCAAGGCAGGAGCUACCUCCGGGUAAUCACUACGAAGCGAGGUAGGGGGACGACGCUUGUAUGAACUCUCUCAAAACACUACCAAGUAUUGACAUCGUCCAGACUAAAGGAUCUACGUCACAACUGAGCUGUCGCUGUAGAACAAGUACGGUGAAUCAACCGUGCUGAAGGUUGGUCAAGAGACAACGAUCGACAGCGAUCCCGAGGUAUGUCAGGGGACAGAGGAUAACUUGCACGGUGAAAUUUCCCCUAACAGCCCCCAUACUUGGAACACAACAUCUACGGUAUGGAGACGUGCUACCAACUAAGUCGCAGAGACAUGGUUGGGUCAACCACCUACCUACUAACACAGCAGUUGGCAUGUAAAGGUACGCGCCGAACUAUAUUAUAUAAGGAGGUCUUCUGUUCUCCUAAAGGUACGCACUCUCAGCUAAUACAACAUAUACACUCUCUCUCUCUACAUUUUUUGAUCUUCUAACUUGUCAGAGAGCCGCUUCCUGAAAAUAACUCUGGUGGCCGAUCUCACUGUCUCUGUGCUAUAGCUAGGACAUUGCUGGUUGAUUGGUUGAAACUACCUUCGUCGCCAUAUAAUCACCGCGGGUGUCUAUCAUCAAUUUUCUUCCUCUCAUCUCUUAAGCUCACCACCCCACAAUAUAUAUAUAUAUAUAUACAGGCCGGAUUCGGGAACAAAAUUUUAAACACUCCAUCUUAACCCUUGAAAUCAAAGGCUGAGAUUAUAAGUUCUACUUCUCUCCUCCCCCAUCUACCUAAACCCUACGUGUCUCUCUCUCUCUCCCCCUCCCCCCGGCUUUUCUCUUUUUCUCCUCCACUUUCACUCCACAACCAACAAUCGAAUAAACGAGCAUCGCAUCGCCAUUCUUGUCACCAGAUUGAAGGUAUCUUCAAAAGCUACCGUCAAGCCUCUUCAGAGUUCGGAAGAUCAUCAAUUGCGACCAUCACUUCAUGGAAUGUUCAAGAGAUCGUCUCAAAGCUGUCGUAUGAUAAAGCCAAAACUCGAGAAGUAAUCUUUAAUCUCCCUUCAUCUUCUUUCCCCUCCAUUUGGUUUGCCAAGAAAAUGCAGAAAAAUGGAAAAAAAUUAAUAUAAAGGGAAAGAAAGUAAAAUACCCAAUCGCUCAUGUUUUGUAAAAUUUCAUUUGCGAAAAAACCAAUUCAAUUGGAAACUGUUACUGUGGUUGGGGUUUUUAAGAGUAUGUUCAUCUAAUUGUUUUUCCUACGUUGUCUGCAACCAGGAAGAAUAUAUAUGUGGGCUUGUGUAUGUGUGUGUAGGUAUACUUAAUAAUGUUUUUGAUUGGUGAAUAAAGCAAGGAAUUAUAUUCUAUUAUUACUACUACUUGAAUAACUAUCAGUACUUAAACAAAAUAACCUUCAAUCUGGCGACGAGAAUGGCGAUUCGAUGCUCGUUUCUUCGGUUGUCGGUUGUGGAGUGAAAGUGGCAGAGAGAGGGUAAAGCCGAGGGGAGGGGAGAGAGACACACAGAGUAGGGUUUAGGUAGAUGUGGGGAGGAGAGAAGGAGAACUUGUAAUCUCAACCCUUGAUUUCAAGGGUUAGGAUGGAGUAUUUAAAAUUGUGUCCUUAGAU